CGGCUUCGGCUGUUCGGGGAGGGGGUUGCGGCCUAUCAGCUUGUUGGUGGGGUAACGGCCUACCAAGGCGAUGAGGGGUAGCGGGUCUGAGAGGAUGAUCCGUCACACUGGGACUGAGACACUGCCCAGACGUCUACGGACGGCUGCAGUCGAGAAUCUUCCGCAAUGGGCGAAAGCCUGACGGAGCAAUGCCGCGUGGUGGAUGAAGGCCUUCGGGUUGUAAACACCUGUCAGUAGGGAGGAAAUUUUGACCGAUCUACAGAGGAAGUCCGGGCUAAGUACGUGCCAGCAGCCGCGGUAAUACGUACCGGACAAACGUUAUUCGGAAUCACUGGGCUUAAAGAGUACGUAGGCUGUCUUGUAGGUGAGGUGUGAAAUCCCCCGGCUCAACCGGGGAACUGCGCUUCAAACCACAAGACUUGAGGGAGACAGGGGUGAGCGGAACUGAUGGUGGAGCGGUGAAAUGCGGUUAAUAUCAUCAGGGAACACCGGUGGCGAAGGGCGGCUUCACUGGGUCUCUCUGACGCUGAGGUACGAAAGCUAGGGUAGCGAACGGGAUUAGAUACCCCCGGUAGUCCUAGCUGUAAACGAUGAGCACUAGUUCGGGGGGGACUUCCACAUCCUCCCGGACGUA
rnacentral:rRNA from 1 species